ACUAAGUUACGUUACAGCUCGAAACGCGCAAAAGUAAACCACAAAAUACCCACUACAUUAAGUUGUCUUAAUGAAAACAACUCGUCAAAUGCUUGUGUACAAUCAACUCGUCCUUUUUGAAUCUUAUUUUUAGACUAAAUAAUGCAUUCGUCGUAAAUAUUUGGACACAAUAGAGUUAACCAGUGCCGUUGAAGCACGGGUGUUUCUAACCAUUUUCUGUUUCUAACCAUUAAUCGCAUAAGUGUGGCCAAUUGUGGUCAGCGGCAUUAAUAAGUAGCCACACCAGCUACGAGCCGAAGAGCCAUUUCUGCAUGAGGCCCAGACGGCACAGGCGCAAAUGUCUGGCACACAGAGCUAGCAAGCUAGCUUAGCAUCGCUGUGAUGUUAGACGCGUAACCGAGUCACAGAUUGCAAAACUCUAUCUAACAUCGACUACAUCCGGACGCCAUGCCGCGUUGCAAAAAGCCUCCAGGACCUCCUCCAAGACUGGCGAGCGAGCUGAGCGACUGAAUCCAGCUGCCACAGAUGCAGCGUCCAACGUUUGAUCUUUCCAUGCCUGGGGACCUGCAGAAUCUUGUUCACUGUUUCACCCCGUAGAAAGACGGAUGACCAUCAUUAGACCUGACCCUGUCUACCAGUGCCACCAACAAGCCCAGGGUCAAGAGUGCUGCCUUCCAC